rnacentral:rRNA from 1 species
CAAGUCGAACGAAAAAGGUCUUCGGGCCUUUUUAGUGGCAAACGGGCGAGUAACACAUAUUUAACUUGCUCAUCCGAGGAGAAUAGCAGCCCGAAAGGGCUAUUAAUACGCCAUAGUUUUAAAUUAGUGAAUUAAUUUAAAUUAAAGGAGGCUGCCGAAAGGUGGCCUCGCGGAUGAAUAGGAAUAUGUCCUAUUAGGUCGUUGGAGAGGUAAUGGCUCACCAAGCCGAUGAUGGGUAGCUGGACUGAGAGGUUGAACAGCCGCAAUGGGAUUGAGAAAUGGCCCAUAUUCCUACGGGAAGCAGCAGUGAGGAAUUUUUCACAAUGGACGAAAGUCUGAUGGAGCAAUACCACGUGAACGAUGAAGGUCUUCUGAUUGUAAAGUUCUUUUAUUUAGGAAAAAAAGCGCGGCAGGAAAUGGCCGCGCCUUGAUUGUACUAAUUGAAUAAGUGACAGCUAACUAUGUGCCAGCAGCUGCGGUAAAACAUAGGUCACGAGCAUUAUCCGGAUUUAUUGGGCGUAAAGGAAGCGUAGGCUGAAAUGUGUAUUCAUUGUUAAAAAUAUUUGCUUAACAAGUGUUCGCGGUGAAGAUUACAUUUCUAGAAUUAGUUAGAGGGUACUGGAAUUCAAUGUGUAGUGGUGGAAUACGUAGAUAUAUUGAGGAACACCAGAGGCUAAGGCGAGUGCCUGGAACAUAAUUGACGCUGAGGCUUGAAAGCGUGGGUAGCAAAUGGGAUUAGAUACCCCAGUAGUCCACGCCGUAAACGAUGGGUAUUAGUCAUUUGGAUUUAAGACUGAGUGAUGUAGCUAACGCGUUAAAUACCCCGCCUGGGUAGUAUAUAUGCAAAUAUGAAACUCAAAGAAAUUGACGGGGACCUGA